rnacentral:rRNA from 1 species
CCCUUAGAUGUUCUGAACCGCACGCGUGUUACACUGAUGCAUUCAACGAGCUUUACCUCGGCCGAGAGGCCUGGGAAAUCUUUUUAGCAUGCAUCGUGAUAGGGAUUGAUUAUUGCAAUUAUUAAUCAUGAACGAGGAAUUCCUAGUAAACGCAUUUCAUCAAAAUGCAUUGAUUACGUCCCUGCCCUUUGUACACACCGCCCGUCGCACCUACCGAUUGAGUGGUCCGGUGAAGUCUCGAGAUUGUGGCAAUCUCCUUUAUUGGAGUUUGACUGCGAGAACUUGCCUAAACCUUAUCACUUAGAGGAAGGUGAAGUCGUAACA